CCGCUGAUUGCAAACACUAAUGAACUUACAGCGCCAUUUGAAAUUCACACGCACCAACAAAGUCCGGGGAACCCUCAUUAUAGCUAACGCUAGUAAUAAACGAAGGAAACAAUGGAACUCAUAAAACUUAGAAAAGAGAUCCAGCAUGCAGCUGGAGAGGCCGGGUGGCAGCUGUUCCACCCUCCUUCCUUCGGAGAAGCCACAUCUUGCUUUGCUGUGGGCGGCCUUCAGCCGAGAAGAAGGGGAGCCUGAGGUCUUGCAGGUACUAGGCUCUCCAGGGAGACCAUGAUAUACCGCUGGACUUCUCAGAUUGUGUAAGCUGUUAUAAUGGACUUCUCUUCAAUAAAUGCUAACUCUUUAUUGAAUGACAUCAGUUGUUUUGCUCAAGGUAUCAUGGGGAAAGCACAAACGCAGUCCCCCACUACUACAAAUCAUGCAGUUGAGAGUCUUACAUUUGGGGAAAUCACAGGAGUCUGCACAUGGGGAGCGCGAUGGAUGAGCCUUACCCUGGCAAACCACUUUUGUGAUCAUGGUAUCUCCCCU